CACAACCCAUUCUUAAUUGCCUCUCCCUCACAAAGGCCAUACUCUGUUCCUGUCUAAUGCAACAACAAUAACCCGUGUUAACAUGACAUUUAGGAGCAGUAGAGAGAAUAAGACUGUCAGUGAAAACACGAUGACCCUCUCCAUCUGAAAUAUGACACCAAGCCAGAGCUCAGCGUCUCAUUGUUCCUGCUGAGAAGCAGCACAAGCUGACGACCAAGCAGAGCGGAAUUCCCCCUCGCUGUCUAUAUGAUAGCAACACCACUGCUAUGCAGCAUUUGGAAUGUGUGUGGCUGAACUGGGCUUGGCUGUGGAUGGGGGUUAAAAGGUAGUAAAUGUAUGUGUGUGUGUGUGUGUGUGUGUGUGUGUGUGUGUGAGCGACUGGGAGUUGGGGUGUCAGCCCAUAAUCUAACGUUGGCACUCGGGUGUGAGGCUGGAAUUCCCCUACAUUCUGUGAGGCAGCUGCUGACUUUUUAUGAAUCAAGGACCACGUUUCAGCUAAAAAUCUUUACUGCUCUACUCAAGACAAAAAAAGUCACCUACAUCUCGGAUGGCCUGAGGGUUGGUGAGAGCAUGAGGACUAUAUAGAUCUUCAGCAGGUGCUGAGUAGCUGCUGUCUCAGGUCACACAUUGCGACAGGACAUGUUUCAGAUCCCUGGCUGAGAACUGAGAGCUAGGUUGACAGCACUGGUGUCAUGACAUCAUCAGCACCAUCAUCAUCAUCAUCAUCAUCAUCAUCAUCAUCGAAACUGGGCCAGGGGAAUUAUAUAAAUUAAAAAGUCAAGUGAGGAUGCAAACUCGGCAAAAGGUCAGAAAAUGAAGGUCGAAAGGAUGCUGAACGUCAGAUAGAAAUACAAUAUGGGUGACAGAGAUUUUCAGCCAAGAAUGACAUCAUGGUCUCACAAAAAUAUCCAGUGAAAAUAUCCAGCUUUGAUUUACACCCACAGAAAUGACAGCUGAAAUUUAUGGGCAGAUUUCUGACCCAUCAUCAGCUAAAGUGGGAAUGACCGUUCCAUCAAUUAAACAUCUAGAUAAUUUAUGUUCACUUAUUAAUAUGAUCAUACAUAAUAGCACUCAUAAAGCCUGAUAAAACAAAUAGUGCAACUUGAGAAUGAGUAAUUCUAAAGUCAUGCAGCAAAGGAAAAAUACUUUCUCCGUCAAAAUACUGAAGCCUAACGAUUUCAGAUUGCUCAGAUUUCCUCUGAAUUCUGCUUUAACACUGUGGCUGCCACAUCUGUCAUUGUCUCAAAUCAACCAUCACAUCCUCCAAUUUGGAGAUGAG